rnacentral:lncRNA from 12 species
AGGGUCUUAGCCCUGCAGGCUACAGUGCUGCUGAAGGCUUCUCCAGAUACAUGGCACUGGUCCAUCAGAAACACCAGCAGGAAGCCAUUGUACCAAGGUGGAUGACCUCAGCAAAUACCUGUAUCUCAGCAUCAGUUCUGCACUAGACUUCUGCAUCAAUGUGCCCUUGAAGCACAAAGCCUUCAUGUUCCAGCUCUGUUUUCCAAGUGAGAAGCUUUGGUCUUACACAACCUUAAUA